UACGGGAGGCAGCAGUGGGGAAUAUUGCACAAUGGGCGCAAGCCUGAUGCAGCCAUGCCGCGUGUAUGAAAAAGGCCUUCGGGUUGUAAAGUACUUUCAGUCGUGAGGAAGGUGUUAAGGUUAAUAACCUUAGCAAUUGACGUUAGCGACAGAAGAAGCACCGGCUAACUCCGUGCCAGCAGCCGCGGUAAUACGGAGGGUGCGAGCGUUAAUCGGAAUUACUGGGCGUAAAGGGCACGCAGGCGGUUAAUUAAGUUGGAUGUGAAAUCCCCGGGCUUAACCUGGGAAUGGCAUUCAAGACUGGUUAGCUAGAGUCUUGUAGAGGGGGUAGAAUUCCAUGUGUAGCGGUGAAUGCGUAGAGAUGUGGAGGAAUACCGGUGGCGAAGGCGGCCCCGUGGACAAAGACUGACGCUCAUGUGCGAAAGCGUGGGGAGCAAACAGGGAUUAGAUACC
rnacentral:rRNA from 1 species